rnacentral:lncRNA from 1 species
AUUUUCUUUUAGUGAUUCAUCCAUUGUUAAUUAAGAGGAAAACGGUAAAGGAAAAGAGAGAACGUACCUGGUGACGAGAUUUGGGCCCUCUCUGCCAUCAUCGGAGAACGGGCUUGAAUCGGAAACCAUUCGAAUACCCUCCGAACACAAAACGGCGCAGAGAACAUUGGUUCCCCUUUAGGUUUUCAAAGUAACAGAUUUU